AACGCGAAGAACCUUACCAACCCUUGACAUCUUGUGCUACAUCCAGAGAUGGAUGGUUCCCUUCGGGGACGCAGUGACAGGUGCUGCAUGGCUGUCGUCAGCUCGUGUCGUGAGAUGUUCGGUUAAGUCCGGCAACGAGCGCAAUCCACAUCCCUAGUUGCCAGCAGUUCGGCUGGGCACUCUAUGGAAACUGCCCGUGAUAAGCGGGAGGAAGGUGUGGAUGACGUCAAGUCCUCAUGGCCCUUACGGGUUGGGCUACACACGUGCUACAAUGGUAGUGACAAUGGGUUAAUCCCAAAAAGCUAUCUCAGUUCGGAUUGUCGUCUGCAACUCGACGGCAUGAAGUCGGAAUCGCUAGUAAUCGCGUAACAGCAUGACGCGGUGAAUACGUUCCCGGGUCUUGUACACACCGAGUCUUGUACACACCGGGGUCUUGUACACACCG
rnacentral:rRNA from 1 species